CAGCCACAUCACAUUGAAACACCAGUUCCAGUAUGAUCACCAUAGUUAAGCAACAUUGAGCCUGGUCAGUACCUAAAUGGGUGACCACUUGGAAAUACCAGGUGUUGAAA